UGACCUACGGGAGGCAGCAGUGAGGAAUAUUGGUCAAUGGACGAGAGUCUGAACCAGCCAAGUAGCGUGAAGGAUGACUGCCCUAUGGGUUGUAAACUUCUUUUAUAAAGGAAUAAAACGAGGCACGUGUGCCUUUUUGCAUGUACUUUAUGAAUAAGGAUCGGCUAACUCCGUGCUAGCAGCCGCGGUAAUACGGAGGAUCCGAGCGUUAUCCGGAUUUAUUGGGUUUAAAGGGCGUGUAGCCGGGAAGGCAAGUCAGAUGUGAACUCCGGAGGCUCAACCUCCGAAUUGCAUUUGAAACUGUU
rnacentral:rRNA from 1 species